CUGGCCAACAUGACCAGUGCAACACAGAGCGGAUGUAUUAAUACAACAGCCCAUUCCUGCACUAUUGCUGGCAUGAAGGAACAUCUCUAAAGCUGUACCAU